GCAGCAGAGGAAAAUCUUAUACAUCAAUACUAUAUAAUCUUUCAAAGUCCAUAUGAUCUGGAUUGAUUAUACAAUUUUGUGCUAGCAGAAUGGAAAACAUAAUGGAUGACAUCUAUUACAACUGAAAAAAAGGGACCGAGGCAAGCCAAGAAACCAUAUGACAUCCACAUAUACCAUGAAAAGGGCAAUUCAUUACCUUGCUAAAAUUCUGUCUAAAA
rnacentral:misc_RNA from 1 species